ACCUAUUGAUAUUCACUCCAUCACAGGACUUGGAACAGUUUUGCUAGCAGAAAAUACGACUCUCUUCUAUGCUGUGGUAAAAUAGUACAACCACAAGGCCAGGAUCCAUAGAAUGUGACCAGCUGUUUCAGUGGUUUUCUGUUACUAUUUGUGAAGUCUUCAUUCUUGUCAUCUCUAGCAGAAGAGUGGUGCCAGUUGCCAGAGGUUUGAGGAAAAAGAAGUCAUGGGAGAAUUUACAUUUCAGAAAAUUCCAUUCAUUGACUUAAUUAUUUCUGGGAAUUCAGAAAAGACCACCAUGAUCCUUUAGCCGCGAAAACACUUGGGCCAGUUUUGGAAAUGCUAGAAUCCUGCAGGAGAAGCUUUUGAGAAAUUCAGUACUGUGCAGUGUUGUAACCCGAAUACUUUGCUGGAGAAAGGGUUACUGAGAGAUCAUAUUCACAAAUCAACGUGCAAUAGUGAAAAAAGAUGGCAACACUGAAGAACCUUACUGAAUAACCCAGUAUGGACCACGUAUUGUAAUAGGCACUUAAUUUCUCUCAAUCCUUUCGAUAUCUCCUUGAAAUAGCGAAGGUCAUAUGAUAGCUGCUUAAUAAAAUUUGCUGAUCGAAUGAAGGAGCUAAUGAAUUCAAUAAAAUCAGGGAAGGCUUCUUGGAGGAGGAGCACCUUGCUCCAGUGGGCUGAGAAGACAUUCCAUGAGACCAGAGCAAGGAGAGGAGUGGCCUGGCAGCUGAAGCCAGAGACAGACUUGAACCUGGAGUUUACCUUUUUGAGAGUUAAAUCUGUGUGGAGGAGGAAAGGAGGAGAGACUAGAAGCGGAGAGGCCCUUUGGAGGCUCUGGUUCAGGCAAAAAAGGAUGGGCUGUGAAUUCCUGCAUUUAUCUACCUUUGUUUUCCUGUGUAGACACAAGGCUGCCUGGCCUCUCAGAGAAUCUUCACAUCAAACCUAGGAGAAAGGUACUAUUAUCAUCUCUAAGUUACAAAAAUGGGAACUGAGCCACCAAAUGGCUAAGUGGUUUGCCUAAGAACACAGCGCUGGGCAGACAGAGGAACCAGGGGACUUAGGCCUUGCCAAGGAGGUGACAGUUGGACUGGCCUGGAGGGACUGGCCUGGAAAGAACAGCUACAGUAUGGCCACAGGGUUCCGGGAUGGCCAAGGAGGCCCAUCUCACCAGACCUGGCCCUGAGAAACUUCACCAGCAAGGCUUUCAAAUCGGGUGCGUGAUUGCUACGACGUGAGUUCCCUUCCAGUAGGGCCUGCAGCUGCUCUGUCCUCCUGGAUGGAGAAUCUGACUCCAACUCAGCUUCCCAAACCACACACAAUUCCAAGAUGAGACUGGUCUUCCUCUGGGGGACCAAGGAGAAAUGUGGUAAUUUAGACUCUCAAAGACUCUUCCUAAAAAGCUGGGCUGUUAAGGAAUCCACUCCAAGCGAUCACCAUCUGUGGCAGGCAGCUGGUGGAAUAGACAGAACUGUUUUGACAUCAGAUGAACUAGAAUUUGAAUACUGGUUUAGUCCUGUCUAGCUGUAGGGAUUUGAAGGGAAAUACAGUUUUUCUUUCGGAAAACCAGGACAAUAAUAUUGUACUAGAUUUGUGAGGUUAAAGAUAUAGAAGGUAUAGACAGCUAGGAGGUGUUGGGAGAUUGGGGCUUCUAUUCUUUGUUUUGCAUUAUUAUUCUUAGCAAAGCCACUUACAGGGUGUCUGAAGAAGCAUCCCUUUCUUUGGCUCCAGAGUGUGAGUAGAGUUUAUUAGGGUCCCCCUGGCUUUUGGGUCCACCCAGUUUCUUCUGCAGACAAUGUUUGGACUGAACUUCACUCUCUGUACAAUGAGGAAACCUGUUUUAAAGGCCUCACUUGUCAAAAAAACAGCCAUAAAACAGACUUAAUGAGACUUCUGGAUACAGCCAGGCCCAUGUGAUUGGCUGCUCCAGGGCAGGCAAGGCUGGAAUUCAGGGCUCUGAACGUGCUGGCCGGCUGCGCUCCAGCCCCGGUCUGUGCUGGUGGUGUUCCGUGUGCUCUGUCCGCCUCUCCUUUAACUUCCCUGAUAAAAUGCUUACUUGGAUAUUGUUCUGAGAUGAUUGAUUGUUAAAUGCCCUGCAAAUACAAAACUAGGCUGCUAAGUCACACUCGAGAGAAGUCCAGGAAAUCCUCUAGUUGAAUGUUACAGCCGGCUUCUCCUGAAUAGAGGCACAGCAGCAGAUUUCACCUAGCCAACCCGUUUGCUUUUUAAAUGGGGAGACCGAGGCCCUGAAAGGGGAAAGCACUUACAUAAUAUGUAUGUUUUAUUACAACUAAAAAAAAAAAAGACAGAGAGAAAGACGAAUAGACAAGGCCCUCGUAGACCAGGAGGAUGGCAGACUCACUGGAUUCAUGCUGGGUGGGGGGCCUCUCUAAGCUCUUUCCCCCACUCUACCUUUCUGCUCCUUCUCCUUUAUUCCCCAUAGAUAGAGAGCAGUUUUUCCUCCUAGUACCAAAUGUGGAUGGUGGCAUAUUCUUUCCCUUUUACAGAAAUAUUAAAUCCCCCCAGGUCACACAGCUGUGUUGUCUGGGUGGUGGCUGAACCAGGAUUCCAUCUCAGGUGUGUCUGAUGGCCAUCACGAUACCACUGUAAAGCUGAGCUCAUUGACUAACGCUUAGGAAGUGGAGGGCCUUACAUUCUAGAUUCCAACCUUCGCCUACAACAAAGGAAACUGCCGGUAUUUUCCCAUUGCUAGUGACCUCUGCUUUCUUGUGACCAACAAGUAAGCAAGUCAAGUCCAUUUGUUAAGCUCUGUGACUCUUUUCAUUGUUAGGAAAAUUUGGACUUCAAAGUGAGGGAGUUUUGGGGGAUGCUUGGCCUCUUUGGGACCGAGAGGGUGAGGACAGCUGUUUUCUUGUUCAAUUGGCAGCCCUGGAUUAAAUUUCUAAUUUUCUUCCUCACCUAUUUCCUCCCUGUUUCCUAUAAGCUUAGCCCUUUUCCUGGCACAUAGUAGGUGUUCAAUAAAUAU
rnacentral:lncRNA from 1 species